rnacentral:tRNA from 1 species
CUCCGCAUAGCUCAGUUGGAAGAGCGCGAGACUGUAAUCGGUUGAGAGGUUGGAUUGAUAAUCUUGAGGUCAUCGGUUCGAUCCCGAUUGCGGAGA